GAAAUGCGAUAAUUAAUGUGAAUUGCAGAAUUCAGUGAAUCAUCGAGUCUUUGAACGCACAUUGCGCCCCCUGGUAUUCCGGGGGGCAUGCCUGUCCGAGCGUCAUUGCUGCCCUCAAGCACGGCCUGUGUGUUGGGCUUCCGUCCCUGGCAACGGGGACGGGCCCAAAAGGCAGUGGCGGCACCAUGUCUGGUCCUCGAGCGUAUGGGGCUUUGUCACCCGCUCCCGUAGGUCCAGCUGGCAGCUAGCCUCGCAACCAAUCUUUUUAACCAGGUUGACCUCGGAUCAGGUAGGGAUACCCGCUGAACUUAAGC
rnacentral:misc_RNA from 1 species